UACGGAGGGUGCAAGCGUUGUCCGGAUUUAUUGGGUUUAAAGGGUGCGUAGGCGGCCUUGUAAGUCAGUGCUGAAAUAUCCCGGCUUAACCGGGAGGGUGGCAUUGAUACUGCAGGGCUUGAGUAAAGUUGAGGUUGGCGGAAUUGACGGUGUAGCGGUGAAAUGCUUAGAUAUCGUCAAGAACACCGAUAGUGAAGACAGCUAACUACGCGAAUAUUGACACUGAUGCACGAAAGCGUGGGGAUCAAACAGG
rnacentral:rRNA from 1 species